AAGAGCAUAAAACUGCCAUCGAAAUAGAAAUGUGAGUGAUUUUGUUGUGAUGAUAUAACAUUUAAUGUGUUUACAAACGAUUACAUAAUUAUAUCAACACAAUAAAAAAUUAGACAUAUUUUUAACAUGAUGCAUAUUGCUGCAUCUCGAGUUGAAAAUACAUAAAUAUCAUGAAGAUUUUCUCCAUAUACGACGCCCGUUUAAUGCCGUGACCAUAGUUAUUUCCGUAAUGGCGUCAUCCCGUUACAAAAUAUGAAUUUUCUCAAAGAGUAAUAAAUGACAGAUAACUAGAUUAAUAUACAAAUUACAAUUAGAUCGAAGUUAUCAGUUAGACAAAAGAGAUCGAUUUUACAAUAAGAGAUAACAAUUGUAAAAACAAUCAAUUUUUUAAAAGUUAAAGUGUUUGGCAUGGAGAGGAACAUCAGCAGUCGUAAUGAUACAUUUAUCGUUGCUAGACUAAAAACAGUAUAUACUAUAAAUCUAAAGAAUGUUUACGUGAAAAGCUGUGAGAAUAAUAUUUUUAUGUUUUAAAUUUAUACACGUUAUGAUAAAUUUGUGAAAAUCACCAUACCAAAUUCAUAAAUCAAAUAAUCACCAAAUUAGUGCUUUAAAUAUAUAAAAAUAUACUUUCACUCGGGAAAAAAGUGUAUAAUACAUUCAAAAAAAAAACAAUGAUUGCGUAAUUUUCUCAGUAUAGAUUUUAUAUAAUUCAUGUUAAAUUAUUACCUAUGUGUGCUAUACUGUUCGCACGUUUUGUGUGAUGCAUUUUAGACGAUUAUAUAUUUAUGCAUAAAAAAACCAAGAUUUUUGACAUCCAAUUUAUAUCGAAGAUUCUAACGGUGAUACAAAUCAAACGAACAAUUUAUGGAAUUUGAACUAGAAAUCUAAAUAUUUUACAUAAAGCUGAUAUUUCCAUAUAUGUAUAUAUAGGCAGCGAAAAACAUGGCAAAAUUUGAUGGUACUGCGCAUCGGAACUUUCUACUUCGUAAAACACGAAAUUAAAACAAAAAAAAUUAUAUCAAAUUCUUAGAACAAACCAAAUACAGAGAUUCUCGAAGAGAAUUGCCAUUUGACACAACGAAGCAUAUUUAUUCAUCAAAAACUUGUGAUAUUUUUAGGUAAAAUCGUUUUACUUCUGGGUACACACAAAACUGAUUCCCAUAUCGACAAUAUCACGAUAUCAGAAUUGUCUCAAAAAGAUCUUUACCUAUAAACGCUGAUAAUUAUUUCAGCGCUUCCUCUGUCGAUGUCAUGGAUAUUGUAUAGAAUUUCCGAAACAUUUCAAGACGUUUUCCUAAGGUGACAUUGUUUCGAUUGUCUCGGCCAUUUUACAUAGCGUACCUUCUAGCUAUAACGAUAUUAAUGUCGCAAUAAAAUGAGUACCCAACAUAUUUCA